rfam:Gossypium raimondii Chr04_contig_30, whole genome shotgun sequence.
UGUUAAAAAUUUCAUCAAUUUGAACUAUUAAAAACUGAUGCGACUAACGAAAUAACCAAACAGUGAUAGGCAUACCUCAUGCUGACGUAUAGUGAGCAGUAUUUAACAAUAGAAAUGGAUGAAACUUUUAAUA